AGCACGAACAGAUUAGAGCUUGGGGCCUCCGGCGGCGGACCUGCGACGCCGGGCGAACGUGGUCGCCGUGACGCUGAUGUACGGUGCUCCGACGUCCUGGGGAAACUCCCCGCCCCGCCAUUCUCCACCUCGCCUUCCCUCUUCCCGAUCCGGCGCCUAGCUCCGCCGUCCAUCGAUGCCGAAGAAAAGAACUCCAAUCUUCAGAGCAAGUAGCGUCCGAGAAGGCUCAACAUCAACCAGUACAUUAUUCUAGUUACCUUGUAAUCUGAUAAUGAUCAUAUUCCCCGUUGUAUGCUCUUGAUGGUUGGUAAUCACCGUGAAGUGCCUCUCCUUAACAGCAACAAUUGAGACCAGGAAGAUUCAUUGCCAGAUUUGACUCAUGCGCAUCUCUGCCGUAACUAUCUAAGCUGCUAGUAUGUGCUUACCUUGAUGGCAUGUAUGCUUCCUUGCUUCAGAACAAUAUGGAGCAAUUACCUACCUCCGUGCUUAUAUUUUGUAAAACUAGAAGUGCUCUGGUCGAA